rnacentral:lncRNA from 1 species
GAAGCAAAUUUUGGACUUUCUGCCAAUCAGGUGGAACAAACAGCAGUUGGAAUGUUAGAGAGAAGAUAUUGACAAGAAUGACAGUUGGUGGGGGGAGGGGCAACUGGGAGUGGCAGUUGGUCUGGUGAUGCUCUCUCUUCCUGGCCCUUAGACUAAAAGGUGCCUGUCUGGAUAGAAGUGCCUCUAUUCCUGAUUUUCCCAGGGUCUCCCCUGCUCACGUGCUAUUGGUGGCUGGUGGCAGCGUGCUGAGUGUCUUGGUAUCUUGGCGUGGCAGAAGCUAUUGUCCGGGUUUGGCGAUAAGAAAAUAUUUCAACUGAUUUGCUGGAAUGUAUUAAUUGACAAGAAAGAAAUUGAACCUGUCCACAGGAAACUUAGGAAGAUUUAUAUGAACUGAUGCAGAGUACAAUGAUCAGAAAGAACCAAGAGAAAAAAGAAAAAAAAUUUGGCUGGAAGCAGAUUAAAAUGUAAUUGGGAGGGGCAGCAAAGUUGCACAAUGGGCAGAGUUCCAGGUCUGGAGUCUAGAAGAUCUAGGUUCAAAUCUGCCAUAGACACUUUCUAGUUCUAUGACCCUGGGAAGUCGCUUAAGCCCAAUUGCCUAGCCUUUGCCACUCUUCUGUCUUAGAAUUGAUUAGGACAAAAGGCAAGGGUUUUGUAAAAAAAUUAAUUGGGAAACAUUUAACAAAAUAAAUAAAUAAAUAAAUAAAAAUAAACA